ensembl:snRNA U6 U6 spliceosomal RNA
GUGCCCACUUCUGCAAUACACGCACUAAAAGUGAAAUGAUACAGAGAAGAUUAGCUGGCCCUUGUGCGAGGAUGAGACACAAACUAGUGAAGAAUUUCUUAUUUUU